rnacentral:rRNA from 1 species
CGCGGCCUAUCAGCUUGUUGGUGAGGUAACGGCUCACCAAGGCGACGACGGGUAGCUGGAGUGAGAGCUCGAGCAGCCACACUGGGACUGAGACACGGCCCAGACUCCUACGGGAGGCAGCAGUGGAGAAUCUUGCACAAUGGGCGCAAGCCUGAUGCAGCCACGCCGCGUGAGGGAAGAAGGCUUUCGAGUUGUAAACCUCUUUCAGCCGUGAAGAAGCGAGAGUGACGGUAACGGCAGAAGAAGCCCCGGCCAACUACGUGCCAGCAGCCGCGGUAACACGUAGGGGGCAAGCGUUGUCCGGAUUUAUUGGGCGUAAAGAGCUCGUAGGCGGUUGCGUAAGUCGGAUGUGAAAACUCAGGGCUCAACCCGGAGACGCCAUCCGAUACUGCGCUGACUAGAGUCCGGUAGAGGAGCAUGGAAUUCCUGGUGUAGCGGUGAAAUGCGCAGAUAUCAGGAGGAACACCAGUGGCGGAGGCGGUGCUCUGGGCCGGUACUGACGCUGAGGAGCGAAAGCGUGGGUAGCGAACAGGAUUAGAUACCCUGGUAGUCCACGCCGUAAACGUUGGGCACUAGGUGUGGGGCCUCCUUAACGGGUUCCGUGCCGUAGCUAACGCAUUAAGUGCCCCGCCUGGGGAGUACGG